rnacentral:rRNA from 1 species
GUGAGAUGUUGGGUUAAGUCCGUAACGAGCGCAACCCUUGUCCUAGUUACCAGCACGUUAUGGUGGGCACUCUAAGGAGACUGCCGGUGACAAACCGGAGGGAGGUGGGGAUGACGUCAAGUCAUCAUGGCCCUUACGGCCUGGGCUACACACGUGCUACAAUGGUCGGUACAAAGGGUUGCCAAGCCGCGAGGUGGAGCUAAUCCCAUAAAACCGAAUCGUAGUCCGGAUCGCAGUCUGCAACUCGACUGCGUGAAGUCGGAAUCGCUAGUAAUCGUGAAUCAGAAUGUCACGGUGAAUACGUUCCCGGGCCCUU